rnacentral:rRNA from 1 species
GAUGAACGCUGGCGGCGUGCCUAAUACAUGCAAGUCGAGCGAACGGACGAGAAGCUUGCUUCUCUGAUGUUAGCGGCGGACGGGUGAGUAACACGUGUAUAACCUACCUAUCAGACUGGGAUAACUUCGGGAAACCGGAGCUAAUACCGGAUAAUAUUUUGCACCGCAUGGUUCAAAAGUGAAAGACGGUCUUGCUGUCACUUAUAGAUGGAUCCGCGCUGCAUUAGCUAGUUGGUAAGGUAACGGCUUACCAAGGCAACGAUGCAUAACCGACCUGAGAGGGUGAUCGGCCACACUGGAACUGAGACACGGUCCAGACUCCUACGGGAGGCAGCAGUAGGGAAUCUUCCGCAAUGGGCGAAAGCCUGACGGAGCAACGCCGCGUGAGUGAUGAAGGUCUUCGGAUCGUAAAACUCUGUUAUUAGGGAAGAACAUAUGUGUAAGUAACUGUGCACAUCUUGACGGUACCUAAUCAGAAAGCCACGGCUAACUACGUG